UUGUGUUAAGUUCUUUGUGUGUUUUGGAUAUUAAUCCCUUAUUAGCUAUAUCAUUGCAAGUGUCUUCUCCCAUUCAGUAGGUUGAAACUUCAAUAAAAAUAUUCAAUUGCAAAUGUUAUACUGAAUGUAUGUCCAAAUCAAAAGGGCUGAUGUGCUUAUUCACUCCUGGAUGCAUGAUGUCUAGUCUUUUAGCAGGUUUUUAUCCUUCAGUAGUGUAGUGGGUUUCCUAAGAAUUCUUUGUGCCCCCCAAUAUAGUCCUGGUAGUCACUGGCCACAUUAGGCACAUGUCAUAUUGUGGAUUAAUGCUGAUGUUUCCAAUGGUCUCUUUUCCCUUCGCAAGUCGCCUGCUGCCAUCUCAAGGCAAAGUCCUCAACCUGCUCAUCCUCUCUCCUGUGAAAAUGGAGGUAUGAACCUGAAGUCUCAGGGCCCGGGUAAAGCAGCAGUCCACAGUGACACUUGGUGGCGGCCACAAGUUAUGGUGGUGAGGACAGUGGCUAUGGAUACCGGGACCCUUCCAGAAUUGGCACUCAUUGCUCCCACUGUAUAAAUUAGAGGACUCGAGUAUUUUCCUGGGAAAGAUUUAGGAAAUGGGGGCUGGAGCAUGUGAAAGAUACUUUCAGUCUCUCUUGGAAUAUGAGCCCUGGAACCUGGAUUUAUUAGAGUCGUUGGACAACCGAAAUGUGGAUUAGUAUGCUCCCCAAACUAAAAAGCAAUUAAUAGUGCUAAAAUCUGUGGUGGUGGAAUAUUUGCCAUAUCUUUCUUCCUCGUCCAAAGUUUUAUAGUAUUCAACUAAAAGAUGAGAUUAAUGGCCAUUUGUUCCCCAGACAGUUUUCUACCAGUUUUCUACCCAGACAGAAAAAUAAAAGUCAUGUUCUAGCUUUAUUUAGAUAAUGUGUGUUAUUUCAACAUGAUUUCAGAUUUUGUAAUGUGGCGCUUGAAAUUUGGGUGAAUUUGGGUGAAUGAGAGGCAGAGAAUGUCCCAGUUAACCAUGUGAGUGACUCAAGGCACUUAGCUUUUUAGUCAAAUUUUGUUUUGUGAAGUUUCAGAUCACUCUACUAAAAUUGUAACCUUAGAGAGUUUUUUUUUAGCCUACCUUUUAAGGGCACUUUAUUGUUUUCUUUUUCUGAAGGAAAUCAUUCAAAAUGAAAAAUAGUAGCUCUUAUUAUCUAGGUUCAUAUAGUUACUAUUUAAAAAGAUAAACUGCUUUGGUAUGUGGUUUAGCUCAAUGUUUAAAAAAUAAUCUCGGAUUGUGCUCACUGUCCUGAGGUGGUACACAAAUCUAAAGUCAGGGUUGUUUUUAUUUGUUUGUUUGUUUUGUUGUUUUGUUUUGCUUUGUUUUGUUUGUACCUGGUGAAUGCUAUUCGGCAUUGUCACUCGGCUUAAAGUCCUUUUAUGAAAUUAAUUCUCUUACCCUGCUCAUGUGUACUAUUCUAAAGUACACAUUUCUGAUGCUAAUAAAAACUAUAAACCUGUUAGGGAGAAUGUUGGCUAGUGAGCUGAAGAAUUCAAGGGUGUAAACCCAAAUUUAGUUAGCAGCUGCUCUUGAAGUGAUUGUUGUCAUGAAUGUGUCUCAUCAUCUAAACUAAGGUUAAGCUAAAAGAGAAAUGUGAGAAACUUCCUCUGCUGAUGGUUUCUCUUCAUUUAGAAAGUGAUAGAAUACUUUGCCGUUGUUCAGACAGCAUUUAAUUUGUUGGCUUAAAAAUGGAUUAAUAAUUAUGUUUGUAAUCAUCAACUGGACCCAAACAAAAAAUUCUAACUUAAGCUUAUUAAGAAAAGUAAUUGAUAGAGUAAUUAACCAAUAAAAUAGUGGAGGAGCGGGUUCUGUGUGAAGGACCAGGGUAGAGGUGAGACCCACAAAGGGCCAAGCCCUGAACUCAAAUCGAAGGUGUUCAUUGGCUUUGUGAUUUCCUUUUCAGAUUGACAGCAUAAUUCCUAACUAUACUGCUGUGGCUCUUCCCAAACGGGAAUGUCGAGACUUUCUAUGCUGAGUGGAUAAUCCAGCAUUUCCUAAUAUAACAUCUGUUCUAAUCCGAAUGCACAGUAUUUUUUUAAUUUAAUUCUCCCUUAGAAUAUAGUUUAGUUCUUGAUUGUCUUCUGGUGGAAGCAGCACAGUUAAUCCAGAUAGCUAAUAUGAAUCACUGAUUUCCAUGAAUGGGUUUGCUUGGAAUUUUGCCACUAGAGGAUUUUUCUUACAUUUUAAUAGAGAUGAAUCAAAAGUAGUCACUUCUAGUAUACCCAAUUGGCUAAAACUCAAUGCCCUUUUUAAUUUAAAAUAUUGUAGUCGCAUCUCAAUCUAGCCUCAACGACCUUCCACUCUUCUUUUAAUUUUUUCCCCCAACAUAUGAAAGGUAAAUUCCCCCAACAUAUGAAAGGACCUAUUCACAUCUGGACAGUUAAUAGGUCAUUUACAGCAUUACUUCAAGUAGUAUAAAGCAAUAAAACGUAAACACAUUACCUUCAUACCCAUGGCAAUUAAUUUUCCAUAACUGAAGCAUUGUCGUGUCCAUUACCUUAGGAAAAGCUAAAUGUAAUCAACAAAACUCAUUAGCAAUUUGUGAAUAUAGCUUCUCAAAGUUAGUGUAAAAUAAUCUGAAGUCAUUUAUCUUAGGGAAGAGAAAUACCUGGCAAGGGGGGGAUGUGAAACUGCUAUCCUUAGAAAACUUGGCUUGCGAGGUUGGUCUUUGGCUUGUAUCUGGGCAUUUGAACUUGGGGAGUAUUCCCACUGGUCCGUAUCUAAUAAAGGUGGCUCCCUGUACCCAGACUGCGCAAUCAAUGUGGCUUAAACUGAAGAACUGUUUUCCUUCUAGGAGUCAAGAAUCCUGGUGUGCGCUAAGUAGAAUGUGACCGUGUGGCCUACCCCUAAUAAAAAUUUAGAUGCUGAGGAUCUAAUGACGACACUUCACGCAUGUUGUCACAAUUGGAUGCUGGAGGAAUUAAGCAUAUCCUGUGUAAGUCCAACUGGAGAGGACCCUUGGAAAAGUGAGAUGGGAAGUUUCUUCCCAUCUUUGCUCCAUAUGCCUUUCCUCUUCGAUGCUUUGGUUUUGUAUCUUUUUAUUGUAAUAAAUUAUACUUGUGUACA